rnacentral:rRNA from 1 species
GACGAACGCUGGCGGCGUGGAUUAGGCAUGCAAGUCGAACGGUAUCAUCCUUUCGGGGGUGAGAGAGUGGCGAACUGGUGAGUAACACGUAGGUUAUCUACCCUCAAGACGGGGACAACCCAGGGAAACUUGGGCUAAUACCGGAUGUGAGCAACUUUUAGUUGUUUGAAAGGUGGCGUAAGCUGUCGCUUGGGGAUGAGCCUGCGUCCUAUUAGUUAGUUGGUGAGGUAACGGCUCACCUAGGCAAUGAUAGGUAGGCGGCCUUAACGGGUGGUCGCCCCACACUGGGAUUGAGAUACGGCCCAGACUCCUACGGGAGGCAGCAGUCGAGAAUAGUCUACAAUGGUCGGAAGACUGAUAGUGCGACGCCGCGUGAACGAUGAAUCCCUUCGGGGUGUAAAGUUCUUUUAUAUGUGAGCAGUGCUUCUUAUAUUAACAGUAUGGGGAGAGAGAUAUUAGCAUAUGAAUAAGCAACGGCUAACUCCGUGCCAGCAGCCGCGGUACUCGU